rnacentral:lncRNA from 1 species
CUCCUUGGACUAACUCCAGAUCAAAUGAGACCAAGAUCCUUAAUGAUAGGCCUGGGGAGAAGGCAAUGGCCCAACUGAAGUGCAUCUACACUAAUGCACGCAGCAUUGGUAACAAACAAGAGGAGCUGGAAGCCAUCGUGCAGCAGGCAGGCUAUGACUUGGUCGCCAUCACGGAAAUGUGGUGGGACCACUCUCAUGACUGGAGUGCUGCAAUGUCUGGCUAUAGGCUCUUCAGAAGGGACAGGCAGCACAGAAGGGGUGGCGGUGUGGCUCUCUAUAUUAGAGAGAGUUUUGAUGUUGUGGAACUUGAGGCUGGGAAUGAUAAGGUUGAGUCGCUAUGGGUUAGGAUCAGUGGGAAGGCCGACAAGGCAAGCAUCCUGGUGGGGGUCUGUUAUACACCGCUAAACCAGGAUGAGGAGACGGAUGAGGAGUUCUACAGGCAGCUGGCAGAAGUUGCGAAAUCGUCAGUGCUUGUUCUCGUGGGAGACUUCAACUUCCCAGACAUACCCUGGAAGCACAACACAGCCCAGAGAAAGCAGUCUAGGAGGUUUCUGGAGAGCGUGGAAGAUAGCUUCCUGACGCAGCUGGUUAGAGAGCCUACCAGGGGAGGUGCCCCACUAGACCUUCUGUUCACAAACAGAGAAGGACUGGUGGGAGAUGUGGUGGUUAGGAGCUGUCUUGGGCAGAGUGACCAUGAAAUGGUAGAGUUCUCUAUUCUUGGCGAAGUCAGGAAGGGGACCAGUAAAACUGCUGUAUUGGACUUCCGGAGGGCUGACUUUGAGCUGUUCAGGACACUAGUUGGCAGAGUCCCUUGGGAGGUGGUUCUGAAGGGCAGAGGAGUCUAGGAAGGCUGAGCACUCUUCAAGAAGGAAAUCUUAAUGGCUCAGGAGUGGUCUGUCCCCACGUGCCCAAAGAUGAGCCGGCGUGGAAGAAGACCAGCCUAGCUGAACAGAGAAUUGUGGCUCGAGCUUAGGAGAAAAAAGAGGGUUUAUAAUCUUUGGAAAAGAGGGU